GGGAAGUGACGGGGAUCGGACCCGCGCCCCACGCCGGCCCGAGGGCAGGGAAGUGACGGGGAUCAGACCCGCGCCCCACGCCGGCCCGAGGGCAGGGAAUGACGGGGAUCGGACCCGCGCCCCACGCCGGCCCGAGGGCAGGGAAGUGACGGGGAUCAGACCCGCGCCCCACGCCGGCCCGAGGGCAUGGAAGUGACGGGGAUCAGACCCGCGCCCCACGCCGGCCCGAGGGCAUGGAAUGACGGGGAUCAGACCCGUGCCCCACGCCGGCCCGAGGGCAUGGAAUGACGGGGAUCAGACCCGCGCCCCACGCCCGGCCCGAGGGCAGGGAAUGACGGGGAUCAGACCCGCGCCCCACGCCGGCCCGAGGGGGGGAGUGACGGGGAUCAGACCCCUGCCCCACGCCGGCCCGAGGGGGGGAGUGACAGGGAUCAGACCCGCGCCCCACGCC